rnacentral:rRNA from 1 species
UACAGAGGUCCCAAGCGUUGUUCGGAUUCACUGGGCGUAAAGGGUGCGUAGGUGGCGGGGUAAGUCUGAUGUGAAAUCUCCGAGCUUAACUCGGAAACUGCAUCGGAUACUGCCUUGCUCGAGGGUUGGAGGGGGGACUGGAAUACUUGGUGUAGCAGUGAAAUGCGUAGAUAUCAAGUGGAACACCAGUGGCGAAGGCGGCUGGCUGGACCGCAACUGACGCUGAGGAACGAAAGCUAGGGGAGCAAACAGG